AUAUUCCGUACUGCUUGUCCAUUUCUGGGUCACGGGGAUCCGAAGUCUAUUCCGGAAAACAACUCAAGAAAGAAGAAGUUCCUGUGUACUGUACACUACAACUUGAGUAUCUCCAUGCCCACACUGCAUUCCACUCUGAAAGCAACCUCUGGAAGCAACCUCUCCUGCACAGCUCGAAACUAGCCCAGGGUCCAAACAGAGCAACAGCGAGUUACAGACAGGGCAAGAGGCAGAAAGGAUCUUGUGGGGACUGGAGCAACAUCAAAGCCCUACAAUGACGGAAACCCCAGCGUGAGAACUGCCAUGUUGGUGAGGGUAAUUCAAAGACAUGCAUAGUUAAAAUGCAACCAUGUGUGUUGUAUGAUCAAGCAGGUUUAGAUAUCGCAGCAAAAAACAAGGGUCUCACAAUUAGAGGUAUGACGAAAAGGAUUAUCACAUGGAUGACAUGACGGGACAGGAACUUUAUGCGUGGGGGGGACGUGAAUGUAGAGAGACGUAGCAAAAGCAGGAAGCGGAACAAAAACUUAAGACCGGUUUCUGCAUCAGCCGAAGAAGCAUGUACACAUGGAUCUGGGCUACAUGGGAUCUUAUAUACCAAUGGGGAAAACACAGGAGAAAUAGAUGACUUGCCUGUCACUUUAUUUUUCAAGUAUUCCCUUCUGAAUAAUCGUGGGUAUUGUAUAUUUUUCAUAUUAGAAAGAUACAAAAUAUUUCACGACGAUUCCUGUACUGUAUAUGGUUACCCGUAUGGACUUGUUUUAGGGCAUGUCCGUGUGACUAACAUGCACCGACAUAAAACAAAAAACAACAGUAUUACCAUGAGUGCCAAAACAUCUGAUCAGUCUGAGCAAUCUCAGAAGUGCCAGUAGCAGGCUGCUAACAUGGGGGAAGGAGGGCAGGGCGGUGACUGAAUAAAUUGUCCAAUCAUUGUUCAGCAGACAUGUCACCAAUAUGUCAAUAUGUCUUAGUUGUUCUCAUUGGAUGAUUAUUUGCUUUUUUUGGCUGGGCAGGACUGACGCAUGACUAACAUUACACAGGGGAGUCUCAACACCAAAAUGAAAUAAUUUGUGCAUUAAAAGGUACUUUUGUGCAUAUGUAUGCGUGGGGAACUCAUUACACUGUUAACUUUCCAGCCCCUCCUCAGUACAAAAACUACUAACCCCUGUGAAAAUGUGUUGUUUAUUAUUAAUUAACAUGGUGUUUGUCAAGGACCAAGCGUAGUCAGCCCUAUUCAAUACAAAGGGGUUUCCGGGUAACAUGAAGCUUGGAUACCCAUCUCACAUCCUCUUUUUUGCUCUUGUCUAGCUAGACCGUGACUUGAUAGACUUUGUAUUCACUGUGCGACAUGAGGAGAAUCACCCAUUAUCCAUCCACUUUCCAAACCGCUUAUCCUACUGGGUCGCGGGGGGUCCGUAGCCUUUCCCGAAAGCUAUGGGCAUGAGGCAGGGAGCAACCCAGGAUGGGGGGCCAGCCCAUCGCAGGGCACACUCACACACCAUUCAACUCGAGUUCCCUCAGCACAUUGCCAAGAUCAUACUCCGACCUGAUAUGGUCCUGGUAACAGAGAGUGUGGUCAUGCUGGAACUUACCAUGCCAUGGGAUGAGCAUGUUGAGGAGGCCUAUGAGUGGAAGAGAGAGAAGCCAAUCAAUGAAUGCCACAGAUAAGAGGUCGGGGAGUAGAGGGUUUGCAGAACAGUCCUUAGCAGGACAUGCCCUGCAUCAUAGGGGAAUGGAGAAGGUGAGCUAUGGCAACAGCACAGAGACUGCAGAGAAAGCUUCCAGACGGCUUUGGAUGAAGAGGGCAGAUCCAUGGGAGAUCGCUGCUAGGGUACGAGCUGAGGCCUGAUGAACCUCAGCUGGGUCUCCUGGGUGAGGAUCUCUGAUGCUCGAAAGACCCGAAACUCCCAUGUUCAAAUGACCCCAGGUAACAUCGCCGAUGAUGUAUCCUAGCUUAGCACCAGUACAUGCAUGACUGUAGUCAGACCCCGAUUUACCCCACCCCCAUUUACCUUACAGACGCACUAAGCGCAGUAACUUAUCUGAUAAUUGAGGCGUGGGAAUUUUUUUCAUCUAGAUCUUAAAGAGAAUUAUGCAUCUGUUAGUCAUUAGAACUAAAACGAAAGUACAUGUUAUUUGAGACAGUUAGUCGUUAGUCAUGGUGCACUUUAGAUGAGCUUUAACUGGAUUCUUACUCAUUAUUAAUAUGUAUACCUCACACAGCAUAAUGGUUAAGUAAAAUGGUAAAUUAGCAAAGAAAGAAAAACAAAAAUAUUGUUCUCAAGGUGAGAUUAAUUUGAAAAUUGAUGCUACUUUAAUAUUUUAAUUGGAAAUGGAUAAACUACAAUUCAUUUGGUACCACUUUAUAAUUAGGCUCCCUUUUGCAUUUAUAAAUAGUAGUAACUCAUUAAUAAAUAACUGUGUAGUAACUUGUUUAUAAUUGUCUAUUGAUGAUACAAAGUGUAAUGUAAUUAAUAACAUGAUUAUAAACCAUUCAUAAACCCUUUAUAAGGUAGUCUCAUUGUGAAGUAGUACCAUUCAUUUGAAUCGCAAUUGAUGCACACGCACUGAUAUUCUCUUGUCCUCAAUCCACCCUGCAGUUGACUGAAAAAAACACCAUUUUCACAUUCAGAAAGGUCAGGCUAACCACUAUGAAGAAGGUUAAAUACCAAAUAUUUCCCUUGCAGGCUGUCAGUACAAUUUGCCGUUAUUUUCACGAAUGAAAAUAUUUGAGCUUGCAGUUACCGAUGAUAAGAAUAUGAUUUUAUUUGAUGAUUGAACAUUAUUAGCGAAUUACUGAGAGCUUUUUUCAUUUUAUUUCCCAUAGCCCUGAAGGUCUUGUAGAUCAGUGGGUAAAAAAAGCCAAGAUAUUCACAGCCUAAGAACACAAAAUGUGACAGAUGUGUUGGGGAUCAAAUAUGUUAUUACAGCAUCACAUUUUCCACCAUGUAAAUAUGUCCGUUGGCAGUUUUACACGUACAACCAAACCACAAUCUAUUGGUCUGACCAUGCUGAGGCCAGUAGCACAGUGAGAUCACUUCAGUGAUGGAACCCACAGCAUGGCUGGGAAGCCAAUCAUACCCUCCUCUGCACUAACGACAGAAACUAACGUUCCUCCCACAACGUCAGUUUCUUUGGUCGCUUCGACAGAGGCAACAAGAACACUACAAGGGGAAUGCUGUCAACCGCAAAGGACCCCCCACCCCACCCCCAUUUACCUUACAGACGCACUAAGUGAAGUGGGUACUCAGGAACUCUAGGAAGACCACAGCACCUGCUGGAGGACUGUGCUGCUCCGCUAGCUGACACGUUCACUAGCAUCUUUAACGUGUCCCUGUCACGGGCAGCAGGCCCAAUACGCCUUAAGACAGCCACCAUUGUAACAGUGCCAAAGAUAACCGCUGCCAAGGGUCUUAACACACCCCUGGCACUACCAAUUGAUCUUCCUGUCCUCUGGAAAGCCCUAUGCGAAUAUUUAUUCAUGCACUUCCAGACUGAGGAAUAGUGUUUCUUGCAAAGCCAUAAAGCAUCUUAACCUGGGAAGAAACAACAAACUUACUACACCCCCGCAAGCAUUCUGUGUGCGCUCCUCUGUCAGCUUGCUCCCCACCAAACAGCUGACUGUUACGCCCGGUUCGUGAGAUCCUCCUGUGUGCCACGCCCCCCAUUUACCUCCUGUGAAAUCCUGAUUGCUCACAUAAAACCCACAUUUUGGACUCCUUGCCUGCCUGACUGGUAAUUCCCCGCUUGCUGCUUGCACGCCGGAUGCCAGUCGUAACGCUGACGUUCCCCUGCAUAUCUCGACCAAGAGGAUACUCUGUUAUGACCCAAGACAGGCUCUCGAUGGACCCUCAUUGGACUGAUUCACUACCAAAUUAUCUAACAUCCUGUUACAUAUUUAUAGCAUUGCUAAUUUUUAAUCUCAUGUUGUUGUAUUUACAAUGCUGCUAAAUGGAAUAUAUGGUUGCAGUACUGUAUGUUAGAUCAUUCUACGUCUUUAUUUGUUUGUUUAUGUAACAUUGGUGGGAAAGCAUGCAAAGUUCCAUUAUAUGUAUACAAUGACAAUAAAUAUAUUCUGAUCUAUGGUCAUUGGCGUGGGUAAUGAGUAACUGCGGAAUUUGAUAAAUAACCUGCUUUCCGUUAGAUAGACUGAAUACUCAAAGGGGUCAUCUUGCUAAAAUCCUGUAUAAUAAUGGCCAGACAUUUGAAAAAAUCUUUAAGUAAGUUGGGAAAUGUCCAUAUUGUUUGGUUAUUAUGCAGUUAUAAAGAUGAAUUUAAAAGGCAUUUAUCAUUUCUACAGAGGUACCAACUUUCGACAAUUGACAAAUAUGGGCCUCGUCUAAAGGUGUAGAGUCUUUCUUUGCCCAAUAGGUGACAUAGUUUUGCUUUGUAAACACUGCUGUAGCACCUGUAUCGUAGUUUACAGGGACUUCAAUGUCCUAUUGCCCUGUGUUUCUGACUAGAUUCAACUAGCUUUUGGGAAGGCAGUUAGCUCACAAUAAACAGACAUUUUACAUGUAUCGAAGCAGCAGUACCAAA